AAGGAGAUUAGAUUGGUUCACCCCCAGGGUUAAAUGUGCUCUAUGUUUUCUGUUUCUUAUCAACACAGGAAUAGUGUCAACAUCGGAUCCCAGCUUUUUUCUACAUCCAUUUGCAGGGACCCAGAGUACAUCAAACAAGACUUUCUAAAUGUUCCAUUUGGUUUGAGGGUGAAAGGACUGGAGAUGACAUAAAUCCUCUGAAAGGUCCUCACCGGCCAUGGGGAUCGAACCCUCUUGCUGUGAGGUGACAGCGCUAACCACUACACCACCGUGCUGCCCUGGAUUCAAAGAAACCUGUACGCAGGCACCAUUUGCUUUGCCCAGUCUGUUUUAGGACCCAAGAAACACUGUCAUGUCAUCUGCGCAGAUCGUGCAUGAAAGACAGCCCUGAAGCUGUCGUUGAAACGGUGGUCGAAAAGGCCAAGGAUGAUGUUUUCCAUCUCCUGAAGGAUGGCAGGACUUUCGACUAUGUGGUCCUUACUCAAAUAAUGGCUGAUGGCAAUCC